GCAAACUUGGUCAUUUAGAGGAAGUAAAAGUCGUAACAAGGUUUCCGUAGGUGAACCUGCGGAAGGAUCAUUACUGAGUGAGGGCCCUCUGGGUCCAACCUCCCACCCGUGUUUAUUGUACCUUGUUGCUUCGGUGGGCCCGCCGUAAGGCCGCCGGGGGCUUCUGCCCCGGGCCCGCGCCCACCGGAGACAAACUGAACUCUGUCUGAAUGUUGCAGUCUGAGUAAUAACUUAAUAAGUUAAAACUUUCAACAACGGAUCUCUUGGUUCCGGCAUCGAUGAAGAACGCAGC
rnacentral:misc_RNA from 1 species